UACGAAGGGUGCAAGCGUUACUCGGAAUUACUGGGCGUAAAGCGUACGUAGGUGGUUCGUUAAGUCUGAUGUGAAAGCCCUGGGCUCAACCUGGGAAUGGCAUUGGAUACUGGCGACCUAGAGUGCGGUAGAGGGGUGUGGAAUUCCCGGUGUAGCAGUGAAAUGCGUAGAUAUCGGGAGGAACAUCUGUGGCGAAGGCGACACCCUGGACCAGCACUGACACUGAGGCACGAAAGCGUGGGGAGCAAACAGG
rnacentral:rRNA from 1 species